rnacentral:rRNA from 1 species
UACGUAGGGCGCAAGCGUUAUCCGGAAUUAUUGGGCGUAAAGAGCUCGUAGGCGGUUUGUCGCGUCUGCCGUGAAAGUCCAGGGCUCAACUCCGGAUCUGCGGUGGGUACGGGCAGACUAGAGUGAUGUAGGGGAGACUGGAAUUCCUGGUGUAGCGGUGAAAUGCGCAGAUAUUAGGAAGAACACCCGUGGCUAAGGCGGCUCUCUAGUACGGUACUGACGCUGAGACGCGAAAGCGUGGGGAGCGAACAGG